rnacentral:pre_miRNA from 1 species
AGUACAACUUCUGGAUCAUAUGGUAAGAGGAUGUUUAUAUUUUAAGAAACUGCCAAAUGGUAUUCCAACAUGGUUGUUCCAUUUUGCAUUCCCAUGAGCAGU